AGUGAACGCUGGCGGUAGGCCUAACACAUGCAAGUCGAACGGCAGCACAGGAGAGCUUGCUCUCUGGGUGGCGAGUGGCGGACGGGUGAGGAAUACAUCGGAAUCUACUCUGUCGUGGGGGAUAACGUAGGGAAACUUACGCUAAUACCGCAUACGACCUACGGGUGAAAGCAGGGGAUCUUCGGACCUUGCGCGAUUGGAUGAGCCGAUGGCGGAUUAGCUAGUUGGCGGGGUAAAGGCCCACCAAGGCGACGAUCCGUAGCUGGUCUGAGAGGAUGAUCAGCCAGACUGGAACUGAGACACGGUCCAGACUCCUACGGGAGGCAGCAGUGGGGAAUAUUGGACAAUGGGCGCAAGCCUGAUCCAGCCAUACCGCGUGGGUGAAGAAGGCCUUCGGGUUGUAAAGCCCUUUUGUUGGGAAAGAAAUCCAGCUGGCUAAUACCCGGUUGGGAUGACGGUACCCAAAGAAUAAGCACCGGCUAACUUCGUGCCAGCCGCCGCAGUAA
rnacentral:rRNA from 1 species